UACGGAGGGUGCAAGCGUUAUCCGGAUUCACUGGGUUUAAAGGGUGCGUAGGCGGACAGGUAAGUCCGUGGUGAAAUCCUGCAGCUUAACUGCAGAACUGCCAUGGAUACUAUCUAUCUUGAAUGUCGUGGAGGUUAGCGGAAUAUGUCAUGUAGCGGUGAAAUGCUUAGAUAUGACAUAGAACACCCAUUGCGAAGGCAGCUAACUACGCGAUAAUUGACGCUGAUGCACGAAAGCGUGGGGAUCAAACAGG
rnacentral:rRNA from 1 species